AUACGGAGGGUGCAAGCGUUAAUCGGAAUUACUGGGCGUAAAGCGCGCGUAGGCGGCUUGAUAAGUCGGAUGUGAAAUCCCCGGGCUUAACCUGGGAAUUGCAUUCGAUACUGUCAGGCUAGAGUGUGGUAGAGGGAAGUGGAAUUUCCGGUGUAGCGGUGAAAUGCGUAGAUAUCGGAAAGAACAUCAGUGGCGAAGGCGGCUUCCUGGAUCAACACUGACGCUGAGGUGCGAAAGCGUGGGGAGCAAACAGGAUUAGAAACCCCGGUAGUCC
rnacentral:rRNA from 1 species